rnacentral:lncRNA from 10 species
AUAAUAUCUUCAUUUCAUAGCUCUGCAAUUCAGGACUAAAGCUGAGCCCCCAUUUCUGAAGCUCAAGAACUAUGAAUCUUGCAAUCAUUUCAUAGCAUGUCCAGUGCUUUCCAAGCUCUAAGGAGAAAUCAAGGAACCAGGAUCUACAUGACCCCCUUCUUAUUCCUUAGAACCCUAGAAAGUCAAGCUGGAAAAGAUCUUUGUGGUCCCUGGUUGAUCCCCUUUCUUUUACAAACUGAGACCCAGAGAAAUGAAGGAACUUGCCCAAGGACAUCCACCGAACUAGCACCAGAGAUCAUCCCCCUUACUCGCUCACAUCACGCCUCUCACCCAAUGAUCCCUUGCCAAGAAGCUUUAUGUACAAGAACCCAUGUGAUCCAGGAACUGGAAGGGCUCAGAUAAGUUAGAUAUGCUUUCUGCUGACUUUACUCACUUAAGAUUAUACUCAAGACAAAAUGGAAGUUCUGUUCCAAAACACCAUUUUUUUUUUCUCAUUUAGGGAAUAAAGAUGGGACAUUUUAGUUACAGGGAAUCAAUUUCCAUUUUCUGUUCUACUUUGGACUUGCUGAGGUUCAAAAUACCACCAACUCUUUGCAUGGAAAAGACCCGCUGUCUUGUGGCAGGAGGAAGGAGAGCCCAUCUACUUCCUCAGCAUUCUCCCAAAUGUCUCCCCUAAAUGCCAGAUCAGCCUUGUAGAAAACUCUCAUUUAUAUCAGGAAAGUGGCCAAUGCAAGUUUAGUUUUAUUAAUCAAGAGUUUUAUGCACUUAUUUUUAAAUAUGUACUUUAAAAGUUUUUAACACUUACUAUUUGGGGUUUUGGAGAAAGCCCCCAUCAAUGUCUUAAAAGUCCAUUGCUUCUUGGGCUUUUUCAAAACCCACAUACAACCACUGAAAAGUCUGGGGAAUCACUGAAUGAGAUAUUUGCAAAACAGACUCUCUCCCAGGAAAAUCGUAGCAGCAGCAUAAAACCUGGUGAGCACGAGGAAGGCUACGCCCACGUUCUGCAGCCACCAUCAUGUGGAAAGGAAAGAGCCACAUGAUGGUGCUAUAACCCAAGCAGAAACGUUACUUUAUCCCAAGUCACGGUCCAUGCACUUCUUAUAUCCAUAAAAAUAGUAGCUGAGAAAGGGGGAUGAGCUAACUGACUUAGCUACUAGAGGUGUUUUCAGAUACACUGACAAUCCUUUGGGCUCCACGAAGAAGUCUGCUGAAGAGUGCUAUCAUUUUCCUUCUACCCAUACAGGAAAACCCUGGCUUGUGAGGUAGAGGAGCAGGAUGGAAAGAGCAUGGGCUCUGGCCAGCAAAAGACCCAAGUCUGACUACUCAUUCAGUCCCUCAUUAUCUAUGUGGGCUUGGGCUAGUUACCGAACUUCUCCAAAUCUCUGUUUCUCAUUUCUAGAAUGGGAACAAAUCUACCUCCUUCCACGUCAACAAACACUUUUUAGUUUAUUUUGUGUCUUCCGGCAUCUGGAAUGGAAUAAGAAUUUAAUGAAAGUUUGAAUUUACAAUAUGUCAGGCAUUGAACUAGAAGCUUUACUUACAUGAUGUCAUUUAAUUCUUACAAAAAGCCCUUGAGGUAGAUGUUGGUCAAAC